rnacentral:misc_RNA from 1 species
GAUUCUCCUAUGUUGAAGACUAAACCUCUCUCUAAAAUUUAUGAGAGAUACAAUUUGGUAAAGGCUGAACUUGUGACCUUUCAAGAAGCAAUUCAGUUGGAAGAAUGGCAACAAGCCAUGAAGGAGGAGAUUGCUUCAAUUGAAAAGAAUGAUACUUGGGAACUCACCACUAAGCCAAAAGGGAGAAAUGCUAUUGGAGUUAAAUGGAUUUAUAGAACUAAAGUAAAUCCAGAUGGCUCAGUAUACAAACACAAAGCAAGGCU